AGUCGAGCGAGUCUGCCUUGAAGAUCGGAGUGCUUGCACUCUGUGAAACAAGAUACAGGCUAGCGGCGGACGGGUGAGUAACACGUGGGUAACCUGCCCAAGAGAUCGGGAUAACACCUGGAAACAGAUGCUAAUACCGGAUAACAACAGAUGAUGCCUAUCAACUGUUUAAAAGAUGGUUCUGCUAUCACUCUUGGAUGGACCUGCGGUGCAUUAGCUAGUUGGUAGGGUAACGGCCUACCAAGGCGAUGAUGCAUAGCCGAGUUGAGGGACUGAUCGGCCACAUUGGGACUGAGACACGGCCCAAACUCCUACGGGAGGCAGCAGUAGGGAAUCUUCCACAAUGGACGCAAGUCUGAUGGAGCAACGCCGCGUGAGUGAAGAAGGGUUUCGGCUCGUAAAGCUCUGUUGUUGGUGAAGAAGGACAGGGGUAGUAACUGACCUUUGUUUGACGGUAAUCAAUUAGAAAGUCACGGCUAACUACGUGCCAGCAGCCGCGGUAAUACGUAGGUGGCAAGCGUUGUCCGGAUUUAUUGGGCGUAAAGCGAGUGCAGGCGGCUCGAUAAGUCUGAUGUGAAAGCCUUCGGCUCAACCGGAGAAUUGCAUCAGAAACUGUCGAGCUUGAGUACAGAAGAGGAGAGUGGAACUCCAUGUGUAGCGGUGAAAUGCGUAGAUAUAUGGAAGAACACCGGUGGCGAAGGCGGCUCUCUGGUCUGUUACUGACGCUGAGGCUCGAAAGCAUGGGUAGCGAACAGGAUUAGAUACCCUGGUAGUCCAUGCCGUANACGAUGAGCGCUAAGUGUUGGGAGGUUUCCGCCUCUCAGUGCUGCAGCUAACGCAUUAAGCACUCCGCCUGGGGAGUACGACCGCAAGGUUGAAACUCAAAGGAAUUGACGGGGGCCCGC
rnacentral:rRNA from 1 species